AAGGUAAUUUUGAGAGGAUGAGAUUACAAACCCUAUUAAAUAUAUACCUGUCCUCAGCAUUCUUAUGGCUGCCGUGUAUUAGAGAUUUCUCAAAUAAAUGUAAUUAAAAUUAGAUUUUUAUCAAUAUAUAUGCACUAAAAACAAGAUUGUCCUGGCAUUCUGGCUAUAGAUUUUGCUGAUGUACGUGUAAUAAUCAUAUCUACUUGUUUAUACAAGGUUUAAGUUUGAUUAGAAAGUGUCUAAUGUUCCUCUUUCUAACGUGCUGGGUUGUAUCAUGGGUUCUUUCAGAGGAGCAGUAUAUAAAUGGCAGUGAGCUGGCUGUAGUUAAUUUACCUAGUUAAGCUUGUUGAGUGUGGAGGGUCAAGGGAUGUUGCUACAGGCUGAAUAUUUUUGUUCCCUCAGAAUUCAUCUGUUGAAACCUAAUCCCCAAUGUGAUGGUAUUCACAGCUGGAGCUUGUAGGAGGUGGUUAGGUUAUGAGGGUGGAGCCCUCAGGAUUGGGAUUAGCGACCUUCAAAGGAGACAGUAGCAUGCUCCUUCCACCAUGUGAAGAAACAGUGGGAAGAUAGCCAGCCAUCUUUGAACCAGGAAGAAGGAUCUCAUCAGAUACCCAGGCUGCCAUCGCCGUUAUCUUGGACUGCCCAGCCUCUGGAACUGUGAGAACUCAAUGUUUGCUGUUUAAGUUACCCAGGACCCUCUAAGGCAAUGCUUCUCCAAGGGAGGCACCAAGAGCAUCUGCAUCAGAAUCCUCUGAGGCACAUGAUUAUUCCUUGGGAACAAGAACCGUGUGUAAUUCAUACUUGAUUAUCAGAACAGAAAUUAAACUUGGAUGAACCUGGAAACCUGGAGGACAUCAUGCUAACCUUGACUAUAAUGCCAUGCUCAGGAUGUAAAAGAGGCAUACUCCAAAGGGCAGCAUUUUAAGUAAAAGCAUCAAAUCAUAACCAAACGACUUCCAGAGAAAUCAGCCAAGAGACUGCAGCAAGAGUCAGAGAAAGCCUUCAAACCCCUAAGUGUUUUCAAAAAACUUCCCAAACAGCACUUUUGUGGGAGGGGCAUGCUCUAAGUGACAUUGUUUCACACCCAAUUUGUUGUGCAUAGUUUAUCCUGCCUUGCAUGCCAAUUGGAUUGCAGAAAUGCUUUGUAUGCAGCCUGGGAAAGGUAUAAAGGACGAUCAUAUGGCUUUUCUGCCUUAUUCUACUCAUAUGAAAGUGAUGUUGACUGGUUUUCAAUUGAUGGACGAACCUUGUAUGGCUGGAAUAAGCCCCACCUGGUCAUGAUGUAUUAUUCUCUGCACAAAUUGCUGGAUUCAUUUGCUAUGUUGUUAAAGAUUUUGUGUAUAUGUUCAUGAGGGAUAUUGAGCUUAAAAAGAACCUGGAAUGGUGAAUCUGCUUUGAUGUUUCUAUCCAUGAAGAAUAUUUGAUGGAGUAUAAUAUUUCUGCCUUGAGAUUUUGCAGCAUCUCCCAGAUCUGUGUGGAAUUUGUUCAGAUUAAAGCUCCCGGCUGUCCUUCUUGGUCCUGCCUUGUGAGUUUCUCCUUGUGAAUGCACAGAACAAUGUGCUUCUCUUUGAUUGCGACCCUCUCCAUCCUUUCUAGAGGAAAACAUUGGCUAUUGUGAUUAGCCCUGAGCUAACUACUGCCAGUCCUCCUAUUUUUUGCUGAGGAAGCCUGGCCCUGAGCUAGCAUCCGUGCCUACCUUCCUCUACUUUAUACGUGGGACACCUACCACAGCAUGGCAUGCCAAGCGGUGCCAUGUCCUCACUUGGGAUCCGAACCUACGAACCCCAGGCCACCGAGAAGCGGAACAUGUUUAUUUGGAUUCCCAUUUUUAUUCGGGUUUCUAGUGGUUACUGUAGAAAUCCCAGCAUGCUCCUCUAAGUCUUCUGCGGCCCUGGGAAGUGGUCUGCAUCCACCUCUGAGGCUCUCCUUUCACGUGAGUGAGAAGACUGCUAUGGUUUCAAACACAGAGCUUGCCUCUGGCUGAUUAUCUCACAUGGAUUAUUUAGUUUCUAUUGCCCCGUGGACCUGAACCUCCAAACACCUCUGCCUGACUCUGAACGCAGAGAGAUCAGACCUUCAUAAAUACAAAGAGUCAUUCUCAAGAAUGUGAACAAUGACUUUAUUUGUGAAAAUGAAUAACACUGAAAUCUUAUUUAUUGAUUCAGAAGAGGACUUAAGAUAUAUCAUUCUGGACCCCUUAUAUUCAGAUCCUCAUUUAGUGAGAACUGCCAAAAUUCAUCUAAUCAGUUUUCACAGCAACAUUUAAGAAAUACAAUAUGCUUAUAACUUUACAAAGAGAGGAAUUUCAGAAAGUACAAUUUUGAAUUCCAUCAUUACUACUGCAAUCAUAUUCUCAAGGUAUGAGGCAAAAUAAUGUGGAACUGCUAGUUACAUGUAAGUAUAUUUGACAUUUUCAGCAGUCCUCCUCCAAAAGAAAAGAAAAAGAGAGAAUGAAGAAUCAGAAAAUGACGGUUUGUACCAGAAUAGAAACACUACUAUCUGAGAAAAAAAAAUGCAUCUGGUUCCACAUAGUUGAAUGAAAUUUCUUCUAUUCAAACAGCGCAGUGCUUCAAACUCCAGACCCCUCUUGUCUCUACCACCUGGCAUAAUGAUUAUUCCCGGAUAAAUCUGAAUCAGCAAAGUGUAAAAUGUGGAGACUUCGUUUUAGAACAAUGCCAUGAAAAAAUCGGAAGCAUCUUAAUAGGAAGCUUAACGUGCCAAGUAUUAUCAUGUUGAUUUCCUGACCUGAUUUUCCAUCUCUGAUAUGAAGAGUCGCUCCUUGGUUCACUGGUGCUGUGCCUGAUUCGGUCUUCCGCUGAGUCUUUGCUACCAAAAGUGAAAGUAGUUAAGAUAGUUUAAUAAGUGCCGUUAUAAUGAACCAGCGGUCUCCAAGCCCUGUGCUUUAAAAAUCCAAUAAGCUGACUUUGCACUAUUUAACUCUGUUAAUUAGAGUAAGCGCCACCUGAAGGAAAUGAGACGUGGAGGACGGAUGUAACUGUAGCUUUGUGUUUUUUCCUUCUCCCAUUUCUACCCCGACCUAUGUGAAGGGGAGAGAGGCCAUAAUUGUAAUAAGGAUCCAGGCCACUUAAUAAAUGUUUAAUUGCAUUCAGAUCUGUUCACUUAGCUUACGAGUUAUUGUCAGCCCGUUAAUGGACCGUUAAUUAAAAAGCAUAUUCAAUGAGGUGAGGAUCAUUUUCAUGUGGAAGGUUUCUACCUGCCUUUGGAGUCCUGAUGGACAGUCUCUGCUAAUUAGCAUCAUUUCACAGAAGACCAAACCUUUGUGCCAUUUAAUAAAAUAUAGCUCAUGACAGCAGCAUAACGUAUGAAGGAACGAUAGCUAGGGUUAAGGACCAAAUUUGGCAGUGUGGCUGCAAAUUAAGAAAGAAUGAAGGUACAUAAGAAAGCUUUAAAGCUAUAAGUAAAAGGGGAAGUGUGCAAGCUCUAAAAAAUUUUUUGUAUUUUUUAAUAUAUUUUAUAGAAAAUGUGUCUGUUAAUACUCGGUCAGUUUUUGCCUUUGAUUCGUAGAACAAUUCCUCUUCCUUCGCAUUCAUUUCCCAGGACACUGUAUUUUACUACAUUUGUGAUUUCAAAAAUUCAACAUAAAAGCUGCUUUCUAGAUAUUUUUUAAGUUUAUGAUAUUAAAGAAUAAUAUAUUUCAAUAAAUUUUAUAAUAUAUUUUGCAUGCCUACUAAGGGAAAGUCACUGUUUUGGGGAAUAAAUUUUAGUUUUAAUUUCUUUCGUGAAUUGUGCAGAUGCUGUUGUAGAAAUAGGACAAGGUCCUCUAUCUUGUGGUGAUUUACACUUGAUAUUUUGGAAAAUAUACUCUUCAUACAGGUGCACUAAAUUAAUAGCACAUUUAACAACUCAAUUUUUUUUUUAAAGAUUUUAUUUUUUCCUUUUUCUCCCCAAAGCC
rnacentral:lncRNA from 1 species